GACGAACGCUGGCGGCGUGCCUAAUACAUGCAAGUAGAACGCUGAAGGAGGAGCUUGCUCUUCUGGAUGAGUUGCGAACGGGUGAGUAACGCGUAGGUAACCUGCCUGGUAGCGGGGGAUAACUAUUGGAAACGAUAGCUAAUACCGCAUAAGAGUAGAUGUUGCAUGACAUUUACUUAAAAGGUGCAAUUGCAUCACUACCAGAUGGACCUUCGGUGUAUUAGCUAGUUGGUGGGGUAACGGCGUUCCUAGGCGACGAUGCAGAGCCGCCGGGAGAGGGGGAGCGGCCGGCCUGGGAGGGUGACAGGGCCCAGACUGCUACGGGAGGCAGCAGUAGGGAAUCGGCGGGAAGGGGCGGAAGUCUGAGCGCGAAAGGCGGCGGGAGUGAGGAAGGUUGUCGGGUCGUAGAGCUCGGUUGUAAGAGAAGAAAGAGUGUGAGAGUGGAACGUUCACACUGUGACGGUAACUGAUCAGAAAGGGACGGCUAACUACGUG
rnacentral:rRNA from 1 species